UCGAGAAUCAUUGUCAAUGUACGAAAGUAUGAACAUGCGACGCCGCGUGGAGGACGAAGGCCUUGGGUUGUAAACUCCUGUCCUAAGGAAGUAAGUGCAGAUUGGUUAAUACCCUUUCUGUUUGAUAGUACCU
rnacentral:rRNA from 1 species